rnacentral:rRNA from 1 species
CCCUUAGAUGUUCUGGGCCGCACGCGCGCUACACUGAUGCAUUCAACGAGCCUAUCCUUGACCGACAGGUCCGGGUAAUCUUUGAAUCUGCAUCGUGACGGGGAUAGAUUAUUGCAAUUAUUAAUCUUCAACGAGGAAUGCCUAGUAGGCGCAAGUCAUCAGCUUGCGUCGAUUACGUCCCUGCCCUUUGUACACACCGCCCGUCGCUACUACUGAUUGGAUGUUUAAGCGAGGUUCUCGAACUGCUAGCGACUUAGCUUCGGUGAGGUCGCAGUGUGGGAAGUGAACCUAGCUUUGGUGUCUAGAGGAAGUAAAAGUCGUAACA